rnacentral:rRNA from 1 species
AACGAACGCUGGCGGCAGGCUUAACACAUGCAAGUCGAACGCCCCGCAAGGGGAGUGGCAGACGGGUGAGUAACACGUGGGAACGUGCCCAAAGGUUCGGAACAACUCCGGGAAACUGGAGCUAAUACCGAAUGUGACCGUAAGGUGAAAGAUUUAUCGCCUUUGGAUCGGCCCGCGUCUGAUUAGCUAUUAUGUGGGGUAAUGGCCUACCAAGGCGACGAUCUGUAGCUGGUCUGAGAGGACGACCAGCCACACUGGGACUGAGACACGGCCCAGACUCCUACGGGAGGCAGCAGUGGGGAAUCUUGGACAAUGGGCGCAAGCCUGAUCCGGCCAUGCCGCGUGGAUGAUGAAGGCCCUAGGGUUGUAAAAUCCUUUCGUGGGGGACGAUAAUGACGGUACCCCAAGAAGAAGCUCCGGCUAACUUCGUGCCAGCAGCCGCGGUAAAAC